CGCGCCUUCCGCUUUUUUUUUGCAGCGGAUUGGUUCUAUAAGCCACCGCUCCCCCGUCCUCUAUUCAUCCGCGUUGUUGCAUCAGACACAGCGGAACCGCUGAACUGUCUCACGUGGAGAGCGGACCGGCUAUGAGCUGUGUGACCGGGCAGCAACUACUUUCUCUUCCUCGCCUCAUCCCCUUCUGAAAGAGUCGAACUGUCUGCUUACCUGGCCGCUGAGCUUUGAACCCCUCCGCUGCCGGUGACCUGUUGCUUCUCCAGGCGGUCCCACGUGCAGCAUAUCCCUCGGUGGGGCAAGAGCACGGCGGGGCAGCCGGUCGCAGGGCGCAACAGCGGCAGUUUCCGGGGACCGCAGCUUUUCUUCUUUCCGCCCUGCUUGGCUGCCAGCACAACCGGUCUCCAAGCCAGUUGACGGAGAACAGAAAGCCUCAUGGUGUCAGGCAAAGGACGCUGAAGAGCGGCGAGUGCUAUUUCGCUGCCGCUGAUACUACCGAGCGGGGAGGAGUUGUUGGCUUGUGGGGAGGGACGUGGCGCGGGGAGGAGCUCUCGACGGACAGACCUUGGACGGCUCCAACAGCUGUCUGUAAGGCGGGGCUGAGGCAUCGCUUUGUACCGUAGGCGGUGAUGCAUCCAUAAAGACCCCCCUCAGGUUACUGAGGUGAAUGCGUUGCAAGCUCAAGCAGCUUUAGGCGGUUGCGCUCUUGCGCAGAGUGGCCGGAAACCUAAGUCCCGUAGGACUUCUUCUCUGAACAUACAUCGUUUAGCCCACUUUGUUACCUGAAAGCAUUUUUACUUUAUAAUAAACGUGAGAUCCAUCUCCUAAAUAUGUUCACCAGUGGUAGUCCUUUCCAACGGAUUCAAGUAAUGAGAAAAGCCAAGUAAAGUACUAGUUAUAAAGGGGUGAAUCCCCUUGGCACACUGCACAAUAUAAAAUGAAACAUUUUAUUAAUAAAGACUGAAUUUUUUCCAAA